ACAAGCGGCGGAGCAUGCGGAUUAAUUCGAUGCAACGCGAAGAACCUUACCAAGGCUUGACAUACACCGGUAACGCCCAGAGAUGGGUGCCCCUUUGUGGUCGGUGUACAGGUGGUGCAUGGUUGUCGUCAGCUCGUGUCGUGAGAUGUUGGGUUAAGUCCCGCAACGAGCGCAACCCUCGUCCUAUGUUGCCAGCGGGUCAUGCCGGGGACUCAUGGGAGACUGCCGGGGUCAACUCGGAGGAAGGUGGGAUGACGUCAAAUCAUCAUGCCCCUUAUGUCUUGGGCUUCACGCAUGCUACAAUGGCCGGUACAAAGGGCUGCGAUACCGCGAGGUGGAGCGAAUCCCAGAAAGCCGGUCUCAGUUCGGAUUGGGGUCUGCAACUCGACCCCAUGAAGUCGGAGUCGCUAGUAAUCGCAGAUCAGCAACGCUGCGGUGAAUACGUUCCCGGGCCUU
rnacentral:rRNA from 1 species